AUCCUGUCCCCAGCAAUGCAUGUACCCUGAAAAAAAAAAUGUUCUUGACCACUUAAGUUGUUAUUCUCUCCUUCAGAUAUUCCAAUGUCGUCUCCUUUCCCACAGUCCCUUCCUGACUGCCCUGAGAAACAACAGCCCUUUUACAGAUCCCUGUUGCUGUGAUGUCUACGCUGCAGAUGUUGUACAGCACUACUGAAAUGUAUCAGAAGUGGUCAUUCCCAUCCCUGCAUCAAAAGAAGAAUGUCAGAUGUGAUGGCUGCUAUUCUGAAUUUGUAUUAAAAAGAUAAAGCCCAAAAUGUUAGUCUUGCAUUUCAGAUAAAAACUACUGAGUUUUAGAAACAUAUUUAGUUGUUGUUGCAGUUUAUUCCCUAGUCAUUUACUUCUGUUAAAACAGAAAAGUUCUACUUUGACCACCCUAACUCACCUUGGAAGCAGUCCACAAUUAUUCUGGUCUGUGGUAAAGAGCAUCGUGAACAUAAAAACUAGUUUUUAUUCUUGCUGUACAGACCAAAUGACAGUUAAGAUCAGCAUUCUGCAUGCAUCGGACCUCAUGCUUUUAUGCCUUGCUAGAUACCCUUGCAUUGCUCAGGCAGGAGAUGAAGAAGGGCUAUACAGGCCUAAAGUCAAGUCUGGAGGGUGGUGCAGAACCAGCAGCAUGAUGUUUAACAGGAAGGGACAGUGCACAAAUUGAUUUCUUUGUGACAUAUUCUGCUGUCUACAGGACAAACACAACAUGAAAGACUCAUCUGGUGUCCACACAGCUAUGUUCAGUAAGUACACACAAUGUGCAAGGCCCAGGCAGAUGUAUCAGAUGACAUGCAGGCAGCAUUUGUAGGACAAAGAGAACCAUUGGAGGGCUCAUGGUCAUUUUAGAGGAGACAAUGCUAUUCCUGUUCAUCAUAAGCUUCAGGCUGUUGAUUGCCUCAGAAAUAUGUGUGAGGACAGGCGAGGAUAUUAGGCUUCAUAAUGCCUGCCUUAGUCUCUGCUGCAUUUACCUGAAGUGGAGGAGAACAAACAGUCAUGCUUUAGACCUGUUCACAUCUCUAGCACUGGACUAAUUUCAAUGAGAUAUUCCAAGCUGGAUCUUUGUAGGUGUCUUCCAACUGAACUAUUCUAUUCUAUUCUAUUCUAUUCUAUUCUAUUCUAUUCUAUUCUAUUCUAUUCAUGAAAAAUCUGAAACAGCAACCUUCUCCUCAUGUGUGGGAAGCACACAGACAAGUGCUUGUCUAGUCUCCUGUAUGAAGUCAGAAUUAAGUUGCAGGAAGUUUAAACUGUGGCUAUAUGAUGACACCAAGUUGUAACAGUGACCCGUUAUGUUGCCUGUACAGUGCUGUUUCCUUUUGUAGAUGCUGUGUUCAUGUUGGUUUACCACGGGAUUGUAUUCUCAUCAGAAGGCUGAAGCAGACAGCAGCCCUCUCCAUGGAGUCAGUCUUUGUUUCUGUGUCUAUUCCUGGCUUGGAGUCAGACUGACUUAAGAGAGCAGAUUAAAACUGGCCAGAUAGAGUUAUUACUGCUCCCUGCCAGCCUCCUCUUCUUUCUGACAAACAUUAUCACAGUUGGGGCUGUUUUAAUGGACACCAUCACUGCUGCACCCUGUGGUUUUCAAGGGUCUUUACAAAAACCUUCCAAAAACCCUGGCUUGAAUCAUGUAAGCACAGAGUUAGUACGUAGGUGCAUUGCAGGAUCUGGGUAGGUGGUGCAACCCACAGCACUAUCCUUUAGACUCCCCUGUGACUGUGCAGUGGAUGUGUUGGUGCACACACACACCCCACCCCAGUCAGCAUCACCUCAGAGCAGCUGGUGCCUAACUCAGUACAGUGUGCACCAAACAGCUAUGUGCCCGUAGGUGUACCUCAUGAAAAAAAAAAACUAUAUAUAUAUAUAUAUGUGUGUGUGUGUGUGUGUGUGUGUGUAUAUAUAUAUGCUUUGUCAGCACAACUAAGAGAAAGAAUUAGAAUUGAAAAAAAAAUAAUUUAUUCCUUGACGUUUUUCCUAUUUUCUUCCAAAUAAGCAGUCAAAAGUGGCAUGGACACACAUGUACUGUUCAGUUGGAGGAACAGCAUCAUGGCUUCCAAUCUUGGGACUAUUUGCUCUAUCAGUAGCCUCUAAAAUCAUUUUUUGCAGUCAGCCUACAGCCCCAAGGCAGUAGUCACUCAAGGUCAGUUACCUCUCUUGUUCCAUUUCUUCCCCAGAAGUGUUUGUUCUUGAUGUACCAGGGCCCAAGGAAGAUCCUUUCUGGCUGACCCAUAUCACUCAGCAGUUCCCAGAGAACCUCCAGUAGCAGAAGAAGACUGCUAUAGUGCCCUUUCGCACCACUGAAGCAGUACGAUGCAGCAUUAACACGUUGAAGGAUCUAGUCCAUUAACUUUCAAAAUUAGCUUACCAAGGGAGAUGGAAGCAGUUGUGAGAAAACAAGACAUUUAAAGCUCCUUGCAAAUACAAACUGUCCUCCUGUAAAGAAAGCAUCAUAUCUCAGCAGUUAUAUCUGUAGCUUUAUCUCUUAAGUAUGAUAAUUUGGAAAGGCUGCAAAGUGAAUUUCUCUUUGCAGCUGCCAUCUUAAUCUCCAUCUUUCUCCUGUUAGCAACAGAGCUGCAAGCUACAGCAUUAUUCAGGAGUUGUGCAGAGUCAGGGCUCUGAUUAUACACCCUCUUUUGAGAUGUUUGCUCACAGCAAUUUAGUUCAAGGUACAACAAUAACCCAAACAGCAGCAGGCCAGCCUGAUCUGUGGCACUGUAGAUAGUAGAAAGCUGUUGUGAUAUUUUUGCUAGGUAUCACAAGAGCUCACAAAGUGGAAUUAUGCCUUUCAGUGGUGCUUAGGGACAUGGUUUAGUGAUGGGACUUGGUGGGCGAGGUUGGUGGUUGGAUCUUGAAGGUCUUUUCCAAACCUAGAUGAUUCUACCAUUCUGUGAUAUGAAUAAUCCAAAUUAUUACAUCCUUAUUACCUUGGGCUGAUUUCCUUUGAAAGAGUUCUUUUGUUGUCCCUUCAAAUGUAUUACCACACUUGGAUUCAGAAGCGUUCAUGUGAUUCAGCAGUCACAUGAAAAAAUUGAGAAAUUCCCCAAGACCAAGGUUCCUGAAUCGCAAUGUCAUUCCUACAGAGACCUUUAAUGUCCAUUGCCAUGCAGACCUUAAUCCACUCCAUUCUAAAAGCCAAGAAAUACAGCAAGAAGUUACUUUUGAUUUUUGUGAAGCUUGGAUUGGACCUUCAUAUUUUUGUUGGCUUUGGACACAUCAGUUUGUGGUUGAAAGCCUGUAGAAAUGGGACUCCUGAUUAGCCCAAAAGGCAUAUUACAGCUAGAGAGGACUGUAUCAUAUUUCUCUUUCUCAUUAUCAGUUAGGAAUGUGAAUGAGAUAUUAAUUGGCCUCUCCUUCCCUCAGGGACAUGCAUCGACACACAAACAAUCUGACCAAUUUCACAAAGGGAUUUGUUAAAUGAAAACCUUCAUACUUACUUAACCAAACUUUGAGGAAUGCUCCCUGAAAUAUUGGGCUUGAAACCUGUAUUCAGUCAUGGGAGCAGCAUACGAUUAGCUGUGCUUUUAUCUCUGUACUGGCAUCUGAGAUUAUCAUAGAUUUUUUUUUUUUUUUAACAUUAGUAUGCCUGGUGAAAUCAGAGCAACCCUUUUGCUCUGUGAUUAAUAAUGUGUUAAGCCAAGGUUCCAAAUUAUUUCAACUUUUCAAUGGUUAUGGGAACAUUUACAAGACUGAUGGUCGGACCAUGUACUGCCAACAGGCUGAAAGAGCUAUCAUUUAUUACAGUGCAUUCUUGCAGCCAAAAUGUGUAAUACAACCCUGGUAAACUGUGCAGAAAAAGAAUUAUGAGUUGUGCUACAGCAUUUUCCCAAAUUAGAAAUCAAGUGAAGCUUUCUGCACUACAAAUGUUUUUGUGUGCGGAGAACAAGUGUGGGGAGAGGGAGGAAAUACCAUUUACCUUCUCAAAAUAUGUAAAACCCAAACAUUUCUGUGCCAUGAUGGCAUAACAGUUUCGCUCACUGUGUUGGCUGAUUUAAACCCAUCAUAACACACCAGUAUUUUUGUGGUGAUUUGUUUUUCAUUUUCACCAUAUGCUUAUAAUAGCCAGAUCUAUCCAUCAUUUCCCAGUUAUUUUAUUGUAACUAUGUUUUAACCAUCCCAGUGCCUCUCUGGAGUCUGUUAAUUGUCUUCUCACUGCUGACAGUUAAAUUCUCCUCCCCUCAUAUAACAGGAGUAAUUUUCAUUUGAUGACAAUCAACCUAUCUCAUUAAGCAUUUGAAGGGACUGAGGAUUUCCAAGGAUUUCCUUGAUUUCACACAUCAAGGAUUUGUUAUUUUGGGUAUGCAGGAACUCCAAAAAUACUGAACCUGGUAGCACCAUGCAUCUCUGUACAUCUGUAUGUGUGUGCCUGAGUGUUACAGCCUCAUGUUAUCACAGCACCCACAGGCAAAUUCUCCAUUAUUCUGAUAGUCACAGUUUUUAAAUCAUGAUUAAAAGAAAUGGAGGAUUCCACUGCACAGACAAAAGAAAAAGGCCAAGGAAGCAAAAUCAUGAGUCCAGAAUUCAUGUUCUCUGCCUUGACCCAUCCCAUUAGCCUUGUGUUCCCAGAACAGGCUCCCCAGGUUUGUCAUCUAUAUCCUUCUCUGUUUAAAGCGAAAGGAAGAAAUGAUCUUAGGAAAGAUUUUGAGUUCCGAUGAGACUCUGGAAAUGAGCAGAAGUUUGCUUUGUCUUGAAAUAACAGGAUUUAAAAAAAAAAAAAAAAAAAAAAAAAAAGCUGUUUCAAAAUAUUAACUCUCCAUAAAAACUGCAUCAGUGCUUCAGGCCAAAAGAAUCCUCCUGGUUCACAUCAAAAGGACAAGAGAUAGCCUUCAUGCACCCAGAUGGCAGUCAAAAUGUGUGUAUCCUCACUACAGUAGUAUUUCUUUGCUACACACCUUCUAUGAGGCCUUGUGGCAAGUCACCACUGUUCUCUGCCUCGGUUUCCCCAUUGUUUACUUAAAAAAAAAAAAAAAAAAAAAAAAAAAAAGCAGUAAUCUUUCCCUGCCUUUGAGACUUUCAGAUAAAAAGCCAUGAGAAAUAAGAGCCAAACAUUACUACUAUUAUCAUUUCUGAGCCUCAGUAAUUCAUUCCCUGCUGGGCCUCUGGAUUCUGAAGUAAACUGAUUGGUAUAAUACAUUCUUUUCGUGUAUUAUUGUAUUUGCAUUGACCUCCAUUUCCAGUAAAAUAAGAGUAAAAUGUAAUUUAAAAAUUGAUAGGAAACACAGGAAGCUAGUAAUCUUGUUUGUACCAAACAAAUAGAAGAUAAUGUUCUAUACUCAUAGGCACAUAGCAUGUGGCAGUUCUGUAGUCACUUCUUAAGGCAGUGUGUAACAUCAGGGUUUGGGUUUAGGGGGUUCUGCCCAAAAAUAUGUCGAUCUCAGAUUUACCAGACUGGAGUUCAGACUCAGGAGAUGUGGAGCACCCACUCACAUCAGGGCCAAGAUCUUCAGCACUACUCAGAGAGGCAAGGGGAAGAAGCCAAGGUGGCACCUGCCACCUGUCCCAGGCUGAGUUAGAUAAUAAAGUGCCUCGUGCAGAGAUUUUCUUUCUUUUAUCUCUCUGUUAAAAAUAAAUGAACAAAUAAAUAAAUAAAAACUCUGCCUGGAGUGAGUAUGAAGUGAAAGCACUGGUGGUGUGCUUCAUUUGGCAUCCACUGAAAACUUUUAUCAUGGAGGGAGAAGAGAGACAGGCUGACUGCAUGGCACAUGGCUGGUUAGACCCAGCAUUCCUCCAAUGCUUUCUUGAAUUCCCAAACACAUGUCCUCUUUGCUAGCCUGCCUCAUCUCCAGACUCUUACAUUUUUCCUCCUGGGCUUUGUGAUUUACAUGGUUUGAAAGAAGCACAACUGGCUUUCAAGCCAUCCCUGUGCUCCCUUGUCACCCAAGCCUUGUUAACUGGAAGCAUAAAGGAGAGGAGUCAGUAACCUUCCAAAGGGAGCAUGCCAAAUGCUAUUUCUCUUUCCCAUCCUCGAGGUUAAGUAUGCCUUUGGAACUCAGAAGGAGCUGGAGGUUUUUGGCUCACAAACAGGCAUCUGCUGUCUGACUUGGGACUUAGCAAGGAUCUCAUGGAUGUGUAUACCUGUGGAGAUGUGGCUCAGGUUCACAGUACGGAACAUCUGUGUCCUGGUGGAAGAUGUUUCUAACUUGAACUGCUGUUAACUGAGACUAGAAUCUGGAUUUGUGUUUUCCAUUUGCUGUGGCAUACAUUUUUUAAACACUCCUGUUAAACACUCAUACACAACAUUAGCGGCAGAGCUCUUUAGUCAGCAAUGCCUGGGUUUAAUCUUUCUCCUUUUUACCUCUGAAACUCAGAGCCUGUUCUAGUUUAUUCUCUGAGAGGCAGGACAUCAUCAGAGUGAAGGAUGUCCAGUUUUAGCCAAGUGCUCAUUAUACAAAGCAUAUAUCAAUGAAGUGCUCCAAAUUAGCAGUGGUCUGGCAGCAGUAAUAAAAGCUGCAAGAAAGAGACUGUGUAAUUGUGCUUGUCAUGAAGAAGAAUAUAGUCUGCAGCUGGUGCACAGAAAUGUUUCAAAUCUAUAUGGGAGUCAGAAGAAAACCGAGUAGGCUACUAACCUUUAGUUCAACCAGAGCCCAGCAAGAUACCUCCUCCUACAAUACUACAUUCCUGUCACAAACGCGCACCAUUCUGGUGGCAUGUUAUGUCCCUGUCCAAAUAUUUCAAAAGGAACUUCUACAAUAAUCUCUUGAUAAUACUUUCAAGGCAUUGCUUUUUUUUUUUUUUCUUAGUUUAGAUAUAUGCACACUUCAAAGUCUUUGUGAGCUAUCUCUUCUGGUAGAAGAGUGCCACCUCAUGACUGCUAGAGAGGAAUGAAACAACCCACAAAGGUAAAGCUGAAAGCACUCAAGCGUCCAUGGCCAGGAAGGUCUGGAACAGAACAUGCCCUGUGUACCCACCAGCUUUCAUCUAGCAUCACAACACCCUGAGACAAACAAUUCUUUGACAAUGUACUUUGUGAUCAUUGUUCCCUGAGAAAAAGCUCAGCUUUUUUGGUUAACACCAAGCCCAGCCUCAAUGAUAAAAAAUAAUUCCCCAGUAAAGCUAGACAAAAUUAUGCAGGCUGUUACACAAGGAGCUUUUUGCUUAAAAUGCCCAUUCAUUAUGAUUGAAGGCCCCUCUGCAGAAUUUCAAGUACCUCUCCUCUGGGGACUGUGCAAUUUGGGGUGAGUGCCCUUUUCUCCUUGCUUCUUCACACAGCCCACCCCAAGCCUAGCCACCUCUCUUCAGGCUGAUUACUUUUUCUGUACUAAUGCAACUGAUCUUUCUCACUAGCUCAGAUAAAUAUUGUUUAAAUUAUAGGGAAUUUUGGGGUGUUAUGGAGUCAUAUUAACUCCUUGUUGCUUCUAUAAAUGAGGUAUACAAUCCAAAGAAACUCUGAAUUUCUCAUGCUCCAUCAGCAGUUUGAAAUAUUUGUUCCAAAAUCAGACAGCACAUAGUCACAGAUUGAUUUGUCUAUCCCUUGCUCAGGAACAGAUAGUUUAAAUAUUUAAUAGACAUGAACAAGGAAAGGAGCAAAAUACCCUUUUGCUGCUUUUGCUUCUUCUUUUUUUUUUUUUCCUUCUAAGUGAAUUCAGACAUUGAGGAAAGUGCUAGAUUGAAAACCCUAGAGUUUGAAGUGUGUUGUUCCUGUUUUUUUUCCCAGAAUAGAAAUAUCAGGAGAGUAGUACCAAAGAUUUCCUAAAACCCCAGCUCUACUGCUGCUAUUCUCCUUUAUUAGACUCAUUGCUAGGCAGUAAUUAAAGAUCUAAAUCAGCAUCGUUUUUGCCAUUUCAAAUAAAACCAAAAUCAAUUAAAACCAAGUGUGGGUUUUUUUUCUAAAAUGGUUAUUGAUCUACUAGGAGGUACAUUAAUAGCACCUGUUAUCAGACAGGAUGCCACACAGCUAAAAUAUGGAUACCGAUUUUGACAUAACUGGAAUAUUAAACAUUGCUUCAGAAGUGAAAGAUUUUGCAUCUCAUUCCCUGAGGCAACCAGUUUUUGCUCAGGCCUGCACUUCAAAAUAUGCUGCUAAAGUUGACAGAUAGACAAUAUUAUUAACCUGAAAGCAUCAACUUAUCUUAAGUCUCAUCCUAUGAACUGGGAAAAAAAAAAAAAAA